GAUGAACGCUGGCGGCGUGCCUAAUACAUGCAAGUCGAGCGAACAGACGAGGAGCUUGCUCCUUCGACGUUAGCGGCGGACGGGUGAGUAACACGUAGGUCACCUACCUAUAAGACUGGGAUAACUUCGGGAAACCGGAGCUAAUACCGGAUAAUAUUUCGAACCGCAUGGUUCGAUAGUGAAAGAUGGCUUUGCUAUCACUUAUAGAUGGACCUGCGCCGUAUUAGCUAGUUGGUAAGGUAACGGCUUACCAAGGCAACGAUACGUAGCCGACCUGAGAGGGUGAUCGGCCACACGGGAACUGAGACACGGUCCAGAGUCCUACGGGAGGCAGCAGUAGGGAAUCUUCCGCAAUGGGCGAAAGCCUGACGGAGCAACGCGGCGUGAGUGAUGAAGGUCUUCGGAUCGUAAAACUCGGUUAUUAGGGAAGAACAAACGUGUAAGUAACUGUGCACGUCUUGACGGUACCUAAUCAGAAAGCCACGGCUAACUACGUG
rnacentral:rRNA from 1 species